rfam:Bacteroides eggerthii 1_2_48FAA genomic scaffold supercont1.6, whole genome shotgun sequence.
CGGGCGGAAUCCGAAAAGCCCUUCAAAGAGUAGGAA